GACGAACGCUGGCGGUGUGCUUAACACAUGCCAGUCGAACGGUAAGGCCCUUUCGGGGGUCCACGAGUGGCGAACGGGUGAGUAACACGUGAGUAACCUGCCCUCAUCUCUGGGAUAACAGUCGGAAACGGUUGCUAAUACUGGAUAUGAGCUUGCAAGGCAUCUUGUGGGUUGGAAAGAUUUUUUUGGUUGGGGAUGGACUCGCGGCCUAUCAGCUUGUUGGUGAGGUAGUGGCUCACCAAGGCUUCGACGGGUAGCCGGCCUGAGAGGGCGACCGGCCACAUGGGGACUGAGAUACGGCCCAAACUCCUACGGGAGGCAGCAGUGGGGAAUAUUGCACAAUGGACGGAAGUCUGAUGCAGCAACGCCGCGUGCGGGAUGACGGCCUUCGGGUUGUAAACCGCUUUCAAUUGUGACGAAGCUUUUUUGUGACGGUAGCAGUAGAAGAAGCACCGGCUAACUACGUG
rnacentral:rRNA from 1 species